rnacentral:lncRNA from 1 species
AUCUUCACCCACGUCACCUUCCAUCACUUGCACCAAAUCCAAUCUGCUGGGCUGAACAUCUGAGAACAACUGCGUUCAAGGAAAAAUCGUGUGUUACGUCCGAAGGCAACCUCGGAUAUUACAUCUACGGCAUAAGCGGGGGUAUAAUUUCAGCAUGGAAAGUGUGCAGCCUUGCUGAUCAUGGUUACAAAGAUCACCCGAUAUGUAUCCGGUAAGAUAAUGUUUGGGAGGAAGAUGCGACUACACGGAGAGAAAAAAGUCGUUGAGUCAAAACAAAAAAGAAGAAGAGAAAGAAGAAAAAUGUUUCGAUCAACCGAAUGCGACGAUCACGGCCGGCAAAGUAAAUGAUAAGUGAAGAACCAAAUCGAUUAACAGCAGCAAGGUCAACUUUUUUCGAAGG